rnacentral:misc_RNA from 1 species
UCUCCGUAGGUGAACCUGCGGAGGGAUCAUUACAGAGUUCAUGCCCUAACGGGUAGAUCUCCCACCCUAUGUUAUCAUCACUUUGUUGCUUUGGCGGGCCGUCAGGCCUCGGCUUGGCUACCGGCUCUCGCUGGUAAGCGCCCGCCAGAGAACCCCAAACCCUGAAUAUCAGUGUCGUCUGAGUACUAUAUAAUAGUUAAAACUUUCAACAACGGAUCUCUUGGUUCUG